GACGGAGGAUGCAAGUGUUAUCCGGAAUCACUGGGCGUAAAGCGUCUGUAGGUGGUUGUUUAAGUCAACUGUUAAAUCUUGAGGCUCAACCUCAAAAUCGCAGUCGAAACUACUCAACUAGAGUAUAGUAGGGGUAAAGGGAAUUUCCAGUGGAGCGGUGAAAUGCGUAGAUAUUGGAAAGAACACCGAUGGCGAAGGCACUUUACUGGGCUAUUACUAACACUCAGAGACGAAAGCUAGGGUAGCAAAUGGG
rnacentral:rRNA from 1 species